UUAAGCGACUAAGCGUACACGGUGGAUGCCCUGGCAGUCAGAGGCGAUGAAGGACGUGCUAAUCUGCGAUAAGCGUCGGUGAGGUGAUAUGAACCGUUAUAACCGGCGAUUUCCGAAUGGGGAAACCCAGUGUGUUUCGACACACUAUCAUUAACUGAAUCCAUAGGUUAAUGAGGCGAACCGGGGGAACUGAAACAUCUAAGUACCCCGAGGAAAAGAAAUCAACCGAGAUUCCCCCAGUAGCGGCGAGCGAACGGGGAGGAGCCCAGAGCCUGAAUCAGUGUGUGUGUUAGUGGAAGCGUCUGGAAAGGCGCGCGAUACAGGGUGACAGCCCCGUACACAAAAAUGCACAUAUUGUGAGCUCGAUGAGUAGGGCGGGACACGUGGUAUCCUGUCUGAAUAUGGGGGGACCAUCCUCCAAGGCUAAAUACUCCUGACUGACCGAUAGUGAACCAGUACCGUGAGGGAAAGGCGAAAAGAACCCCGGCGAGGGGAGUGAAAAAGAACCUGAAACCGUGUACGUACAAGCAGUGGGAGCCUCUUUAUGGGGUGACUGCGUACCUUUUGUAUAAUGGGUCAGCGACUUAUAUUCUGUAGCAAGGUUAACCGAAUAGGGGAGCCGAAGGGAAACCGAGUCUUAACUGGGCGUUAAGUUGCAGGGUAUAGACCCGAAACCCGGUGAUCUAGCCAUGGGCAGGUUGAAGGUUGGGUAACACUAACUGGAGGACCGAACCGACUAAUGUUGAAAAAUUAGCGGAUGACUUGUGGCUGGGGGUGAAAGGCCAAUCAAACCGGGAGAUAGCUGGUUCUCCCCGAAAGCUAUUUAGGUAGCGCCUCGUGAAUUCAUCUCCGGGGGUAGAGCACUGUUUCGGCAAGGGGGUCAUCCCGACUUACCAACCCGAUGCAAACUGCGAAUACCGGAGAAUGUUAUCACGGGAGACACACGGCGGGUGCUAACGUCCGUCGUGAAGAGGGAAACAACCCAGACCGCCAGCUAAGGUCCCAAAGUCAUGGUUAAGUGGGAAACGAUGUGGGAAGGCCCAGACAGCCAGGAUGUUGGCUUAGAAGCAGCCAUCAUUUAAAGAAAGCGUAAUAGCUCACUGGUCGAGUCGGCCUGCGCGGAAGAUGUAACGGGGCUAAACCAUGCACCGAAGCUGCGGCAGCGACACUAUGUGUUGUUGGGUAGGGGAGCGUUCUGUAAGCCUGUGAAGGUGGCCUGUGAGGGUUGCUGGAGGUAUCAGAAGUGCGAAUGCUGACAUAAGUAACGAUAAAGCGGGUGAAAAGCCCGCUCGCCGGAAGACCAAGGGUUCCUGUCCAACGUUAAUCGGGGCAGGGUGAGUCGACCCCUAAGGCGAGGCCGAAAGGCGUAGUCGAUGGGAAACAGGUUAAUAUUCCUGUACUUGGUGUUACUGCGAAGGGGGGACGGAGAAGGCUAUGUUGGCCGGGCGACGGUUGUCCCGGUUUAAGCGUGUAGGCUGGUUUUCCAGGCAAAUCCGGAAAACCAAGGCUGAGGCGUGAUGACGAGGCACUACGGUGCUGAAGCGACAAAUGCCCUGCUUCCAGGAAAAGCCUCUAAGCAUCAGGUAACAUCAAAUCGUACCCCAAACCGACACAGGUGGUCAGGUAGAGAAUACCAAGGCGCUUGAGAGAACUCGGGUGAAGGAACUAGGCAAAAUGGUGCCGUAACUUCGGGAGAAGGCACGCUGAUAUGUAGGUGAAGCGACUUGCUCGUGGAGCUGAAAUCAGUCGAAGAUACCAGCUGGCUGCAACUGUUUAUUAAAAACACAGCACUGUGCAAACACGAAAGUGGACGUAUACGGUGUGACGCCUGCCCGGUGCCGGAAGGUUAAUUGAUGGGGUUAGCGGUAACGCGAAGCUCUUGAUCGAAGCCCCGGUAAACGGCGGCCGUAACUAUAACGGUCCUAAGGUAGCGAAAUUCCUUGUCGGGUAAGUUCCGACCUGCACGAAUGGCGUAAUGAUGGCCAGGCUGUCUCCACCCGAGACUCAGUGAAAUUGAACUCGCUGUGAAGAUGCAGUGUACCCGCGGCAAGACGGAAAGACCCCGUGAACCUUUACUAUAGCUUGACACUGAACAUUGAGCCUUGAUGUGUAGGAUAGGUGGGAGGCUUUGAAGUGUGGACGCCAGUCUGCAUGGAGCCGACCUUGAAAUACCACCCUUUAAUGUUUGAUGUUCUAACGUUGGCCCGUAAUCCGGGUUGCGGACAGUGUCUGGUGGGUAGUUUGACUGGGGCGGUCUCCUCCUAAAGAGUAACGGAGGAGCACGAAGGUUGGCUAAUCCUGGUCGGACAUCAGGAGGUUAGUGCAAUGGCAUAAGCCAGCUUGACUGCGAGCGUGACGGCGCGAGCAGGUGCGAAAGCAGGUCAUAGUGAUCCGGUGGUUCUGAAUGGAAGGGCCAUCGCUCAACGGAUAAAAGGUACUCCGGGGAUAACAGGCUGAUACCGCCCAAGAGUUCAUAUCGACGGCGGUGUUUGGCACCUCGAUGUCGGCUCAUCACAUCCUGGGGCUGAAGUAGGUCCCAAGGGUAUGGCUGUUCGCCAUUUAAAGUGGUACGCGAGCUGGGUUUAGAACGUCGUGAGACAGUUCGGUCCCUAUCUGCCGUGGGCGCUGGAGAACUGAGGGGGGCUGCUCCUAGUACGAGAGGACCGGAGUGGACGCAUCACUGGUGUUCGGGUUGUCAUGCCAAUGGCACUGCCCGGUAGCUAAAUGCGGAAGAGAUAAGUGCUGAAAGCAUCUAAGUACGAAACUUGCCCCGAGAUGAGUUCUCCCUGAGACUUAGAGUCUCCUGAAGGAACGUUGAAGACGACGACGUUGAUAGGCCGGGUGUGUAAGCGCAGCGAUGCGUUGAGCUAACCGGUACUAAUGAACCGUGAGGCUUAACCUU
rnacentral:rRNA from 2 species